rnacentral:rRNA from 1 species
GACGAACGCUGGCGGCGUGCUUAACACAUGCAAGUCGAACGGAAAGGCCCUGCUUUUGUGGGGUGCUCGAGUGGCGAACGGGUGAGUAACACGUGAGUAACCUGCCCUUGACUUUGGGAUAACUUCAGGAAACUGGGGCUAAUACCGGAUAGGAGCUCCUGCUGCAUGGUGGGGGUUGGAAAGUUUCGGCGGUUGGGGAUGGACUCGCGGCUUAUCAGCUUGUUGGUGGGGUAGUGGCUUACCAAGGCUUUGACGGGUAGCCGGCCUGAGAGGGUGACCGGCCACAUUGGGACUGAGAUACGGCCCAGACUCCUACGGGAGGAGCAGUGGGGAAUAUUGCACAAUGGGCGGAAGCCUGAUGCAGCAACGCCGCGUGCGGGAUGACGGCCUUCGGGUUGUAAACCGCUUUCGCCUGUGACGAAGCGUGAGUGACGGUAAUGGGUAAAGAAGCACCGGCUAACUACGUG